ensembl:lncRNA
UCUGUGUUUUUAAGUGGCCUCUUUGUGAAAUUGUUCUUGUAUAUGUCUGUGCAUAUAUGAGUGUGUAUGUCCUAGGGCUGCACAAUUAAUCAAAUUUCUAAUUGCGAUUAUGUGACACCCUGUACGUGUAGUCACAGGAAUAAUUAAUAAUUAGUUUUUUCCCCAUGUGUUUGAUUAUUUAUUUUCUGUUUAUGUCAUUGUUUGCUGUUAUUAGGUUUAAUGGUGAUGUAGUAAUCUCAGUGGACAGUAGGGGGAGAUGUUGUGCUGAUUAGGGACUGUGUGAUUACCUGUGAGUCGCAGAGAAGAGGCCAUUACAAGAGCGACUCCAUGACUGAAAGCAGCACAACUGUGUCUCUCUUUGUUUAUCUAAACAGAAAACUUACUGCAGCACCACCAGUCAGACGGCGGGUGUGCUACAAAUUUUGGGGGCUCGUCCGGGAUCUAGCGCCACCUGCUGGUACGCGGAUACAAUGCAAAUGAACCACAGGACAGCUGAGUGAUGAGUGAUCGGCGUAAGGACCACGAAGGGCAGCUCGAGAGCAGCAGGAGAACCAAGGCUCGACAGUGAAAGUGUUUCCUGGCUGAGGAGGAGCAGUGCAGCGUGGUGUGAGCCAAGUGUGAACCCAUCAGUAUCAGGAUCGUCUACAAAAUGGCUUCUAGCGAGAGAAAAGCAACGGUGUGGGAAAUCAAGAAAAGACUUCAUCAGCUAACCCAUGAUGAACUGAUCAGCCUGAUGGAUUGUCUGGAGCCAACUACAGACCCAGAAAGACACAGGUUUAAUGGUGAUGUAGUAAUCUCAGUGGACAGUAGGGGGAGACGUUGUGCUGAUUAGGGACUGUGUGAUUAACUGUGAGUCGCAGAGAAGAGGCCAUUACAAGAGCGACUCCAUGACUGAAAGCAGCACAACUGUGUCUCUCUUUGUUUAUCUAAACAGGUGGGUUAAAUCGAUCAAUUACUUGUUCAAAGUCCACCUAUGAUAUUCUGCACGCUUAAGAUAUGCUUUUUUCUUUCUACAUGUUGUCUUAAGGGUUUUUCCAUUGUUUUAGUUUUAGUAUAACAUUAUAAUACCAUUCAUAUUUUUACUUGUUUAUAAAUUAAAGAAGAAACCAAUCCGAUGUAUAGUUGACAUUUGAGGCUUAAUACUAUAGAAAAGCACUAAAUGUUUUUCGGUUAGUGUUUUCAGCUUGUUUAUUUUCAUAUAAAAGUACAACAUGCAGUCACAUCAAACAAUGGUAUAAACAUCAUUCAAUGUAAAUUGUGAUAUCGUAAUUAAUAAUCGCAAUUACAAUUUCAAGGGAAUAAUCGACAAUUAUGAUUUAUGUCAUAAUCAUGCAGUAUGUCCUGCAAAAUGAACCAAAAUGUUGAGUCUCCAUGAGCACAACUGUUCCUUGUGUCAUGAUCAUCACGUUAUCUUAUGUCCCAUUGUCAUCAGUUUCUUUGGCAAGAAACUUGAGAAAAUGUUUUUCCUCAAAAAAUGCAUUAUGUACAUCUCAUUUAAUCAUUUCAAAAACAAAAUAUGACACCAUAAACAAUAAAAU